AGGACGAACGCUGGCGGCGUGCUUAACACAUGCAAGUCGAGCGGUAAGGCCUUUCGGGGUACACGAGCGGCGAACGGGUGAGUAACACGCGGGUGAUCUGCCCUGCACUCUGGGAUAAGCCUGGGAAACUGGGUCUAAUACCGGAUAUGACCUGCUCUCGCAUGGGGGUGGGUGGAAAGAUUUAUCGGUGCAGGAUGGGGCCCGCGGCCUAUCAGCUUGUUGGUGGGGUAAUGGCCUACCAAGGCGACGACGGGUAGCCGACCUGAGAGGGUGACCGGCCACACUGGGACUGAGACACGGCCCAGACUCCUACGGGAGGCAGCAGUGGGGAAUAUGCACAAUGGGCGAAAGCCUGAUGCAGCGACGCCGCGUGAGGAUGAAGGCCUUCGGGUGUAAACCUCUUUCAGCAGGACGAAGCGCAAGUGACGUACCUGCAGAAGAAGACGACCGCUAACUACGUGCCAGCAGCCGC
rnacentral:rRNA from 1 species